UAAGUCAAAGCCCGCUGGAUUGGGUGUCUAGUUGUUAAUUAGGAUUUCGUGGGAUCAAGGCCCGCUGACUUAG
rnacentral:tRNA from 1 species